rnacentral:rRNA from 1 species
GACGAACGCUGGCGGCGUGCUUAACACAUGCAAGUCGAACGGAAAGGCCCUGCUUUUGUGGGGUGCUCGAGUGGCGAACGGGUGAGUAACACGUGAGUAACCUGCCCUUGACUUUGGGAUAACUUCAGGAAACUGGGGCUAAUACCGGAUAGGAGCUCCUGCUGCAUGGUGGGGGUUGGAAAGUUUCGGCGGUUGGGGAUGGACUCGCGGCUUAUCAGCUUGUUGGGGGGGUAGUGGCUUACCAAGGGUUUGACGGGUAGCCGGCCUGAGAGGGUGACCGGCAACAUUGGGACUGAGAUAGGGCCCAGACUCGUACGGGGGGCAGCAGUGGGAAAUAUUGCACAAUGGGCGGAAGCCUGAUGCAGCAGCGCCGCGUGCGGGAUGACGGCCUUCGGGUUGUAAACCGCUUUCGCCUGUGACGAAGCGUGAGUGACGGUAAUGGGUAAAGAAGCACCGGCUAACUACGUG